UACAUUUCAGUCAUAAUUAAAGAACAUCCCAACAACAUCAAGAUACACUUCAGUGAUUUUUUUAACAUUUGCCAUGACUAGCAGGCUUGUCUAGGCGAUGACGAGCACUGACCUUUGCCUGUUCGACGACAGCACUAGCAAGGCUCGCAAGUUGUGCCUACCGAAGAACACGACAGCAUCGGAGGGCAGGCCAGCGGGGGACUGAUUGUGGGAGGCGCAGCAAGCCGGUGGAGGAGUCUGACGGCGCUGAUGGAGGCCAGCACGCUGGAGGGCAGACUCGUGGGGGACCGACGACUGGAGGCAUGCGGGGGAUUAACGUCGUAGGGUAGGUCGGCGGGGUCCCCCUGUAGUGGCGACACGCCCCUGUGCUAGUCUAGAGUGGAUAAGACAUGUGUGACAAGAGGGUGGAAAGUAAGUGAGUCGAAAUGGUUCUCUUGUUUUUGAGGAAUCCUUAGAACCCAUGUUUUUAAGAAGUAUUUCGAUCUGGAUCCAACCUAACCCACGAGCAUUUUGAACCAAACAUGAAUUGUUAUGAAUUGAACCCGUUCCAACCUACAUCAACCCGCUAAACAAAUACACCCUUAGGACCGAGAGGCGCGUGCACAUGACACAUGUGUGGGCCGUGCGCGGCGCCCACUGAGGCCAUGUUCGUUUGAUCCAAAAACCGUAUGAAUCGAGGGGGAUUGUUAGGGAUUAGAGAAGAUUUUGAUUUGUAGGGGACUUAAUCCCUCUCAAUUUCUAUGGAUCGGCACAAAACAAACAUGGUCUAACAUGGGAAAAGGGUAACUGACUAACGGUAGCCAGCGGCACGCCCAAUCACAUGUGCCCCAUGUGCGGUGCCAAUCCUUCUUCCUCGUUCCUUCCCCUGGCCAGGCUUGGUGGAGUGAGGGGGGCGAUGCGAGGCGGAACCGCUCCAAACGUGCGCGGAGCCUGGCCAUCGCGGCCGUCCAUCCUCCCACACGUGUCGCUCCCACGCGACCACCGUGCGUCCGUGCCAACAAUAUCACUCGCCCAGUACCAGGUUCAGCAGCAGCACGCCGCCGCACGCCUCGCACGCGCGAGCGGCCCUACUGCUCCUACUCCUCCCACCCGUUCCCCUCUUCCGCAUCUGCACCCGCGGCACGAGAUCGAGAUCCCGGCAGACCGGUGGGAUGCAGCAGGCGGGGCUGGCCGAUGACGACGACGAGGAGAUAUGGGUAAAGGAGGAGGAUGACGAGGAGGAGGAGGACGGGUACUAUAUGGACCCCCGGAGCCCGGCCGUGUGGACGCCCGGCGGCAGGGCGGGAGGGACCUCAAACCGGCGGCGCGCGCGCGAGGAGAAGGAGCGGACCAAGAUGCGGGAGCGGCAGCGGCGCGCGAUCACGGGGCGGAUCCUGGCGGGCCUGCGCCAGCACGGCAACUACAGGCUGCGGGCGCGCGCCGACAUCAACGAGGUGAUCGCCGCGCUCGCAAGGGAGGCCGGCUGGGUUGUCCUCCCCGACGGCACCACUUUCCCCUCUUCAUCCUCCUUCGCCGCCGUGGCUGCACAGCCGCCCCGCCCCGUGAUGGUCGCCGCCGCGUCGCCCUCCGCCACCCCGCUCGCGCUCCCGGCCUCCUCGGCGCUCCCCCUCCGCGGCAUCGCGCCCGUCGCCGCGCGCCCUAUCUCCCACCGCCCCGCGCCCGCGUUCGCUCUCCUGUUGCCCCCGCGGGCCGCCGCGGCCUCGCGAUCCCCGGCCGACGACGUUCCCGACGGGAAUUCCUCGCACCUCCUCGCCGUCCCCGUCCCUGUCCCCAUGGACCCCGCCGCCGCUGAAGACGUCCCCGUUGCCAAGCAGCUGCAGGUGCCCGAUGUGUCGCCGCGCCCGCCUGAGCGGGACUUCGCCGGCACGCCCUACGUGCCGGUCUACGUCAUGCUCCCUCUUGGGGUAGUGAAUGGUAACGGUGAGGUGGUGGACGCUGACGAGUUGGUCGGGCAGCUGCGGGUGCUCAAGGCAUCUGGAGUGGAUGGUGUCAUGGUCGAUUGCUGGUGGGGGAACGUUGAGGCUCACAAGCCGCAGGAGUACAACUGGACUGGCUACAGGCGCCUCUUCCAGAUGAUCAGGGAACUCAAGCUCAAGUUGCAGGUCGUUAUGUCAUUUCAUGAAUGUGGUGGCAAUGUUGGAGACGAUAUAUCCAUUCCCCUCCCACAUUGGGUAAUAGAGAUUGGAAGGAGCAAUCCAGAUAUCUACUUUACUGACAGGGCAGGAAGACGUAAUACAGAGUGCUUAUCAUGGGGAGUUGAUAAAGAAAGGGUUUUGCAAGGCAGAACAGCAGUGGAGGUAUAUUUUGAUUUCAUGAGAAGCUUCCGAGUAGAAUUCGAUGAGUAUUUUGAGGAUGGGAUCAUCUCAGAAAUUGAGAUUGGACUAGGGGCUUGUGGAGAGCUGCGAUAUCCAUCUUAUCCAGCAAAACAUGGCUGGAAAUACCCUGGCAUUGGAGAAUUUCAGUGCUAUGACAGGUACUUACAGAAAAGUUUGAGAAAGGCUGCAGAAGCACGAGGGCAUACCAUAUGGGCAAGAGGACCUGACAAUGCUGGCCAUUAUAAUUCUGAACCAAAUCUCACUGGAUUUUUUUGUGAUGGAGGAGAUUAUGAUAGCUACUAUGGCCGUUUUUUCCUCAGCUGGUACUCCCAGGCAUUGGUGGAUCACGCGGACCGUGUACUGAUGUUAGCAAGGCUGGCUUUUGAGGGUACAAACAUUGCUGUUAAGGUCUCCGGGGUGCACUGGUGGUAUAAAACUGCCAGUCAUGCUGCUGAAUUGACUGCCGGAUUUUACAACCCGUGUAACCGUGAUGGCUAUGCUCCAAUUGCUGCAGUAUUAAAGAAAUACGAUGCUGCUUUGAACUUUACAUGUGUUGAAUUGCGCACCAUGGACCAGCAUGAGGUAUACCCUGAGGCAUUUGCAGAUCCAGAGGGCCUAGUAUGGCAGGUGCUAAAUGCUGCGUGGGAUGCUGGUAUACAAGUGGCUAGUGAGAACGCUCUACCUUGCUAUGAUAGGGAUGGAUUCAACAAGAUUUUGGAGAAUGCCAAACCUCUGAAUGACCCAGACGGACGGCAUUUGUUAGGUUUCACCUACCUAAGGCUUGGCAAAGAUCUGUUUGAGAGACCCAACUUUUUUGAAUUUGAGCGCUUCAUCAAGAGAAUGCAUGGUAAGAUGUACUGGCAACUGGAGUAGUCUGACGGCUAGCGCCCGUUAAUUCCAUGUUGACCUUUCUCGUGCUACAUGUUUGCAGGCGGUAAUAUCAGCUGAUUUUUGAGCUGUUAAAUAGAGAACUCGCUGCUCAAUUUUUAACUCUAGUCUUCAAGAAGGAAGACGAGUUGAGUUCCGUAUAAUCGGUGAAUUCACAUCCUUUUGUCGCCGGCGGCUCCACAUGUGCCAUCAUCUCAUGGCCAUGGCGCAAUGUUAUGCAGAUGUAGUGUGAAAUCCGAAGAACCUAGGCAUUCUGCUCAUCUCCAUCUCCAUAUCAGCGUCAAAUGCUCAAAUUUUUUAGUUCAAGUGACUGCUGAUACGCAUGGAACAAAACGGGAAUAAGUGUCUCGAUCCUACUGUCUUGCGUGUAAUGAUGUUCAACAAUGCAGAUUGUGAGUUUGGAUCUGUUGAGCACAGAAAAGGUGUUGAGCACAGAAAAGGUCCUCGCGGACCCUGCUGAUUUUUUUGUUUUUA